rnacentral:rRNA from 1 species
AGGACGAACGCUGGCGGCGUGCCUAACACAUGCAAGUCGAGCGAGGAGAUCCUUCGGGAUGAUCCUAGCGGCGGACGGGUGAGUAACACGUGGGCAACCUGCCUCAUAGAGAGGAAUAGCCUUCCGAAAGGGAGAUUAAUACCUCAUAACAUUGCAGUUUCGCAUGGAACAGCAAUUAAAGGAGUAAUCCGCUAUGAGAUGGGCCCGCGGCGCAUUAGCUAGUUGGUGAGGUAAUGGCUCACCAAGGCGACGAUGCGUAGCCGACCUGAGAGGGUGAUCGGCCACAUUGGGACUGAGACACGGCCCAGACUCCUACGGGAGGCAGCAGUGGGGAAUAUUGCACAAUGGGGGAAACCCUGAUGCAAGCAACGCCGCGUGAGUGAUGACGGCCUUCGGGUUGUAAAGCUCUGUCUUCAGGGACGAUAAUGACGGUACCUGAGGAGGAAGCCACGGCUAACUACGUGCCAGCAGCGGC